rnacentral:rRNA from 1 species
CGUAGUUUGAUCAGUGGCUCGAGGAUAGAACGCUAGCUACAGGCUUAACACAUGCAAGUCGAGGGGCAGCAUGAACUUAGCUUGCUAAGUUUGAUGGCGACCGGCGCACGGGUGAGUAACACGUAUCCAACCUGCCGAUGACUCGGGGAUAGCCUUUCGAAAGAAAGAUUAAUACCCGAUGGCAUAGUUCUUCCGCAUGGUAGAACUAUUAAAGAAUUUCGGUCAUCGAUGGGGAUGCGUUCCAUUAGGUUGUUGGCGGGGUAACGGCCCACCUAGUCUUCGAUGGAUAGGGGUUCUGAGAGGAAGGUCCCCCACAUUGGAACUGAGACACGGUCCAAACUCCUACGGGAGGCAGCAGUGAGGAAUAUUGGUCAAUGGGCGAGAGCCUGAACCAGCCAAGUAGCGUGAAGGAUGACUGCCCUAUGGGUUGUAAACUUCUUUUAUAAAGGAAUAAAGUCGGGUAUGCAUACCCGUUUGCAUGUACUUUAUGAAUAAGGAUCGGCUAACUCCGUG